AAAGGGAGCGUAGGCGGACUGUUAAGUUAGAGGUGAAAGCCCAGGGCUCAACCUUGGAAUUGCCUUUGAUACUGGCAGUCUUGAGUACGGAAGAGGUAUGUGGAACUCCGAGUGUAGAGGUGAAAUUCGUAGAUAUUCGGAAGAACACCAGUGGCGAAGGCGACAUACUGGUCCGUUACUGACGCUGAGGCUCGAAAGCGUGGGGAGCAAACAGGAUUAGAUACCCGUGU
rnacentral:rRNA from 1 species